AGAGAUGUGUGAUGACGCAUAUCAAUAAGCGGAGGAAAAGAAACUAACAAGGAUUCCCUUAGUAACGGCGAGUGAAGCGGGAAGAGCUCAAAUUUGAAAUCUUCAAGGUUCUACCUUGACGAAUUGUAGUUUAUAGAAGUGUUUUCUGUUAGUAGAGUGGCAAAAGUUCUUUGGAAUAGGACAUCAUAGAGGGUGAGAAUCCCGUAUUUGGUCAUUCUUUCUAGCUUUGUGAUACACUUUCAAAGAGUCGGAUUGUUUGGGAAUGCAGUCCAAAAUGGGUGGUAAAUUUCAUCUAAAGCUAAAUAUUGGCGAGAGACCGAUAGCGAACAAGUACCGUGAGGGAAAGAUGAAAAGAACUUUGAAAGGAGAGUUAAACAGUACGUGAAAUUGUCAAAAGGGAAGCGUUUGACACCAGUGUUGUUUUUCCGAAAAUCAAUUACGAAUGUUUUAUUUUUGAGGAAGUUAUGACUUCAUCGGCUUGCUCCUCUUCUUUAUGAAACUUUCUUAAUGCACUUUUCGGUUAACAAGUCAACAUCAAUUUCUUUUGUUGUAAAAGAGUAUUGGGAAGGUGGCUUUCUUUUCGGAGAAAGUGUUUAUAGCCCUUUACUUCUGCAAUCGGAGAGAUUGAGGUCUGCAGCGUAGAUCCUUCGGGGUUAGAUACAUUAGAUGCUAAGUUAUAGUUUUUCAUAGACAACUUGUUGACUAUGAUUAAGUCAUGUAGCUUACUCGUUAUGCCUAUUUUACCUACGCUUAGGAUGUUGAGUCAUAGAGCACGCAG
rnacentral:rRNA from 1 species